GAUGAUAACCCUAUUUUCCUCUAUAAAUAUAUAGGGCACGAAACAGACCCACGGCAAAUUGCGCCUCCCACCCCUUUCGUUUUCUUGGGCUUCCUGUUGUGCCUUCUUCCAUUGUCUCUCACUGAUGUAAUUUUGAGCCUACUCAGGUACGAAAGCAUGCCUGAGUCUGUUCAUGUUGACUCGGAUUUUGUAUUAUUAUUAAAUUUUCUUUUUACUGUUAUCGUCUAAGUUAUAUUUGGAAGAUAGAUCGCAGUGACGACUCAUAAAAUUCAAGCUCAACAGACCGGAAUGCAGGUUUCUCUCUCCAGAGAAGUUUGCGUGUCGAUUAUCCCGCUGAACUGAGCGAUCUUAUCUCUAUAUAUCUAUAUGUCUGGUUACGAUGAGGUUAAAAAAGCUCCCUCUUCCGAUAGUCCAAGUUGAGGACAGACCGCUGGCAGAAUCGAACCUAUGACUUUAUAAUGCCACUACUGAGUAAUCUCAUUUCCCUAUUUUCACAUCUCUUUAUUUUUCUGUUUUUAACUCUAUUAUUAUUAUUUUUGCACUGAAGUAUAUUAUUAGUGAAGUUGUAUUUUUUUUCACUGAAGUAUAUUAGUAAAGUUGAAUUAUUUAUUUAUUUAUUUGUUAUUUUUAUGUUUGUGAUGAGGAUGAAUCAUUAGUAAAUAAUCCAACACUUUUUUCAAGUGAUGCUCAAAACUUUGCUCUUGAAUCUUCGGGCUUAUGAUACGAUUUUCAUGCAUUUCUAGGUUGUUUGUUCUAUUGUGGACUAGUCUGUGCAAUAAUUUUGUUUAGAGCUUAGUUUUAAAGCUGAGUUUUGGCACGGAUCGCCACCCAUGCUUUGUUCAAGCUCUGUUCAAUGAAUCUUUUUAAUAAGUUUGCUUACCAAGAUUACUUAUCAAUCACAUUAGCAUAAUUUGUAACAUAUAAAAUAAGAUAAUCCUUGAAAUCAAUUUUUGAAACUUCCAAAAGAAAAAGAAAAAGAAACUGCUAACUAAUAAUAUUUAUAAUUUAAAUUCAAGUAUAAGUCUAGAUGUGUGUAAUCAUCUUGUAGGAAAUAUUUUACUUUCUAACAAUUUUUUACCAUAAAUGAAUUUAAUGGACAAUUUUUUUUUCCUCUUAAUUCUUGAUGUUUAAAUUUUUUGUAAAUUGUGGAUGAUGACCAAGGAUGAAGUAAUGGAUUCUCAUUUUGUUUGAUCUACAAUGCCAUGCUUUUGAAUUGAUUAUUGUUGUUGGUGUUUUGAUUGUUUUAUUUAGAAAUCAUCAAAUGAUGAAGUAUUAAAAUAUCUUAGGACACCAUUGGACACGGCCUUUUGAGGUUGUGGAUGAGAAUGAUUGUAUUCUGAUGAUGAUUACAACGAGAUCGAUUUCUAAUAGCUUUGUGAAAUUUGACUUGAACUCGUUGCAUUCAAAAACAUGGUGCUUGUUAGAAUUUAUUUAUUCAUUACAAUGUUUGAUAAGUGGGCAUGUUAGGAGUUUAAUGGGCUUGUUAGGAUUUAUUUAUUCAUUACAAUGUUUUGAUAAGCGGGCAUGUUCGGAAUUUUUAUAGAACAUAAUUGAUAUAGUAUUUGGUUUUCAGAAAGAUUUUAAAGAUAUGUUUUUAUUUAUAAUGUCUUAUGUGGCAUAACAUUUUUGUUAAUAUUAACCAUCAUAAUGCUCUUGCUCAUGUUGAUUGAGAUGUUACCGGUAACACAUUUUAUCUAUAUUAAAGGUGAAAUAUGGUUUGCAAUGAUUAAAUAUUUGUAUAUUUUUUCCACGAGAGAUCUAUUUCAAUUUUAAUUUUUAUUAGUUUAUUUCAAUUUUAAUUUUUGUUAGUCUAUUGAAAACAUGCGUGAGCCAGUUUAUGUAACUUGGAUUUUGAAUUAUUAUUAUAUUUUCUUAUUAUGGUUAUCAUCUAAGUUGUAAUUUGUUAGAUAGAUCGUGACGACUCAUAAAAUUCAAGCUCAACUGACCGGAAUGCAGGUUUCUCUCUCUAGAGAAGUUUGCGUGUCGACUACCCCACUGAACUGAGCGAUCUUCUACCUAUAUCUAUAUAUUCAUUUGUUCAUUUAUUUUAUUUUAAUUUGUUAUAUUUAUUGUAUUUUCUUCAAAAAAAAUGUUUUGGUGGGAAAUGAAGUUGCGAUGAGGACAAAAAAGCUCCCUCUUCCGAUAGUCCAAGUUGAGGACAGACUGCCGGCAGAAUCGAACCUAUGACUUUAUUAUGCCACUUCUGAGUAAUCUCAUUUCCAAGUUUUCACAUCUAUUUCUUUUCUGCUCGACUCUUCCUCUCUAUAUAUUAUUUUAAUUGUGAUAAUUUUUUUCAUGGUAUCAUUUAUAUAUUUUUUGUUAAUUUUAUGAUUAUCUUUGGAUGAGAAUGAAGCAGUAGUAAAAAAUCCGACACUUCGAUCUGAGAAUUUACAUUUUUGAAGUGAAUCUCAAAACAUUGCUCCUGAAUAAUCAUAAUGAUGACUUUAUGAUUAUGUUGAUGAUUUAAUGUAUUCCUAGGUCUUAGUUACUAGAUCAAUGUUAUUUGGACCUAGUUCCCUAGUCAAUGUUUGGUCGGACUGGUUUAUGGGUCCCAUCCAAUUGUGGAUACAUCCAAUUGUUGGGUCCCAUCCAUGGUAUUGAGGGAUGAUACCUCAUUCUUUUAUCAAUGUUGGUGUGAAAAAUAGGUUUAAAAUUUCUAAUAAGGUAUACUUUCAGUUUUUUCAAGUUGUAUGAGGUUUUUAUUGUUUUGUUGGCUAGUCUUCAAAUGAACGAAGCUUAGACGAGGUUUAAACUGUCUAGACUGGUGUUUGUUUGUGGGCUAAGCCUUGAGAUUGUGAAGAGCUCAGUUUCAUAAACUUGGGUCAGUGCACUUAUUAUCACAAUUUUGAAAAGAUUGGAUUAGGUUUGGCUUGAUUUUGAAUUUUUCUUGCAUUUGUACUCUAUUCAAGCUUGGUCUGAGCUUAUAGCUUGUAUUCGUAAAGCUAUCUAUGAAUGAAUAUUCAAUCAGUUUACUUACCUAGCUUUACUUGUCAAUUUCAUGGUAACAAUAGUUUUAAAGAAAUAUUUUCUUAACCAUUUUAGGAUGUCAAUCUAAAGAUAUUGGCAGCUUCAGUUUAGGUUGUGUAUCACAAUCUUUGUCUAAUAUUUUCAACUUCAAAACAAUAUUCUUGUAUUGAACUUGUAUGGAAUAUUUUCCUUUGAACAAUUUUAGCUAUAAUGAAGAACAUUAGGUGGACAAUUUUAGUUCAUUUUAUUCCUUGUUCCAACUUUGUAAAAUUGUGUAUAAUUACCAAUAAUGUAAUGGGUAGUCAUUUUGUUUGAUGUCCGAUGCUUUUGAUUUGAUUAUUGUUGAAGGUGUUUUGGUUCUCUGUUUGUUGUUCUUUUAUUUUUCUUUACUCUAUUUAUGUGUGUUUAUGUUUAAGUAAGAAGUCAUCAAAUGAUGAAGUAUUAGUAAAUCUUAGGACACAUUGGACACAACUUUUUGAGGUUGUGGAUGAGAAUGUUUCCAUUCGAUGAUGAUGAUGAUUAUGAGAUCGUUUUAUGUUUUUAGUGGCUUUUUAGAAGUGUCCAUGUAACAUGAACUCAUGCAUGCAAGAACAUCAAAAUGCUUAAUGGGCAUGUUAGGAUUUUUAAUUAUUGAUUGAUAAGUGAGCAUGUUAGGAAUUUUUAUGGAACACAAUUGAUAUUUUAUUUUACUUAUCAAAAAAUAUAAUUUUUUUGGUGUUUCUAGAACGAAUUUUAAUAUGUUUUUACAAGGCAUGCCUUGUGUUGCAGAAAAUUUUGUGGCUAUUAACUACUUAUCAUCUUUUUGUUCAUGUUGAUUGAGAUGGAACCAUUUUUAAUAACACUAUUUUAUAUGAGUGAAAUUUGGGUUGUAAUUAUUAAAUUAUUUGUAUUUAUUGUCCACAAGUGAAAAUUAUUUCAAUUUUCUUACUUUACUUUGUUGUUAGUUCUUUUUGCACUUUUACUUGCCACAUUGUUGUCGUUACUUUUUAUCUUAUAAUAUUUAUCUUAAUAAUUAGCAUGUGGUUCCCCAGUGGACUAUGUUAUAUGGUGGAGUUGUGUUAGUUGGCUUUUGCCAACUCGGUUUUUAUUUUGGAAGUUGUAAAGAAGUUGGUGGUAAAUUAUAUUUUUACUCUGAGGUGUGUAUCAGUUAGAUGUUCAGAAUGCCUUCUUGCAUGGGGAUUUGCAGGAAGAGGUUGAUAUGGUACAGCCAACUGGUUAUCUUGCUCCUGGCAAGUCAGAUUAGCUGCCUUCUUGCAUGGGGAUUUGCAGGAAGAGGUUGAUAUGGCACAGCCACCCGGUUAUCUUCCUCCUUGCAAGUCAGAUUAGCUUUGUCUGUUUGAAGAAGUCUAUUUAUGGUCUGAAGCAACGUGUGCAUGGUUUGACAAGUUUAGUUCUCUUUUGCUUCAGUAUGGUUUCUCAUUAGCCAUUCUUCUUCUGGGAUGAUUAUUCUUGUUGUCUAUGUUGACUAUUAUCAUUAUCAGUGGUAGUGUCUGGUAUUAUGGCUCGCUCAUUUGCAACAUAAAUGUUGGUACUCUUUCAAUUCUGUUAGGGUUUGAUUCAGUAUUUUAUCGGUAUUGAGAUUGCCCGUUCUGGGGAUGGUAUUA